rnacentral:lncRNA from 1 species
UGAGUGAGUGAGAGAAUUUUUAAUUUAUUAUAAAAUUUAAAUUUCGUAAGUUUAAAAAUUAAAAUUACAAAAUUUAAAAUUUAAAUUGUUUAAUUUUAAAUUUUAAAUUUUGAUAUUUUAAUUUUUUUAUUUAGAAUUUGAUAUUUUGUAUUUUUAAAUUAAAAUUUCAUCUUAAAUUUAAAGUUUAAAAUUUAAAAUUUUAAUUUUUUANAAAAAUUCAAAUUAUAAUAUAAAAGAAAAAAAAUAAUAUUAUUAUUUUUUAUUUAUAACUAUCCAUUUUAAUUCUUAUUCCAUCUAAUCUAACCAAACGCUAUUUUUCUUAUUUUCAGGAAUAACCCAAUUUUCAUCCAAACGCUAGAUUGAUCUAAUUCUCGCUUAUACCUCAGUUUAUACAUAUCCCCAGAAUACCCACUUUUUGCUUAUCCUCGAACCAAACGAUACCUAAAAGUUUAAGUUAUUAGAAAACAGUGUUUAUAUAUUUUAUAUUUAACAUUUCUUCUCACAUCUGGACUUGAGAGUUUUUUUCAAGACUAAUGACAUGAACUUGAAUUAAAUGGGAAAAAAUUAAUAAUAUUAGACGUCUGGUAUGACUCAAACUCUAUACCAUUCGAAAUAGUCAUUGUACUCUAAACAUUUAAGCUGUUAAAGGAUGAUAUUUUAUACAUUUUUAUAUUUAACAGUUGUAUAUACCGAACAUUGUUUUGUCAGCAUCAUUACCUGAUUUAUUUAUUUAUUUUUUUUAAA